UUUGGGGAUUCUUUCUAUCCUUUCCCAUUGUGUCUUCUGUCUGUUAUCAUCUGGAAGAAGACUCCAGAGUCUGUGGGCCAAAACCAGCAUUCUUGGUGACAGCUUUAUCCGGUGGUUGGUGCCAUUCUUAGAGUGAGGUUGGUGAUGUUCCUAUCAAAUCUAGACUGCACAGAGAGACAUCUAGCAAACCCUGGAGGUUGAAGAAAGAUGAUAAUAUCUUAAAACACAACCUAUCAAGAAGAUAGUAGAGGGAACUAGGAGUGUGUACUAAGGAUUGCACCUCCAGCGACCCUUAAUUUAAGAUGUGGUGAGUUGAGUCCAUCAUUGAGGAAACGGAGGGAUUACUGGUGUUUUUAUGGAACCGAAAGGAAAUGAAAACUCAGCCUAGUGUAGGGCUGAGAGUUGGUGUCUUAUUUACUGCCUAAAAACCCAGACCUAUAUCUCUAUCUGUAAUCAGUGUUCAAAGUGAGACAACAGGAUGUGAAUAUCCGCUAUCUGACCACAGAGGCUGUUACUCCAGCAGCACUUCUGUCAGCACAGUGAGCCACAGUCAGUCUUAGCUCAGUCCUACAGAUCCAUCAUUGAAAGCAUCCUCACACCAUCCAUCACAGGCUGAUAUGGCUCUGCCUCCUGCUGCUUCAAGGGAAGCGUGUCAUUCAAACCACAGAGGGGGUUAUCAAGAGCUGACUGCACUGCAUCACGCAUGCACACGCACACACGCACACAAACAUCUGCACAGUAACAGAGCGGGAAAAUGGUACAAAUUUCUCUCAACUCCCAACAACUUGGAGUCACCCAACAGGUGGCCUAAAGAUGAAACUUCUGUUAUGGGCAAAAACGUUUUUUUUUUAUUCACAACACUAGAAAACAACAGGCUGUUUCUAUGGGGGUUAAACUACAUUUAUCUGCAAUUUAAUGGGAGGAUUUAAAGCAGCUCACACUGUCUUUACAUUUAUGCCACCCCUGGUAAAAAUACGGAAUCACUACUUGUAGAAAUAGUGAUUUUUGUUUCUGGUAUAUAGUAAAACAAGUAAGUGUACAUCCUACAAGAGAAUGGUUUAUUUUACAUUGGUAGAAAACCUAAACAGUUUUAAUGUAUUUAUUACCUUUUUAUUUUUACAUUCUACAAAGCAAUAUUUUCAUCAUUGGUUAAUGAUGGUACCGAUGAUGAAUGAGUUAAAGAUGUAUCAUAGAUGUAUCAUAUAUUUGUGUCUCUCACUGAAAAUUAAAAUCUAAAUGGUAGUAAAUAUUAAAACUUUUUUGAAAUGUUGUAAACAGAUUCCUAUAAGCAUGUCUGGAGUAAAGUAGGUUUUAACAACAAACCUUGAAAUCAAAACGACUAAUUCUGUGUUAUUUCCAUAUAAUUUUUUUGUCUUUUUUUCCCACAAUGUGAAUGAUAUUGCCAUGUUGUUCAG